ensembl:lncRNA
AUGCUCAGCUCUUUGGGGGCUUGCAGAGACAGAAGCCCUGUUAGAGACCAGCCCCCUUCCAAGAUCUUUGUACAGUAUCAUGAGACAGAGGAAGCGUCCCAAACCCAAAAACCCUCCUUCCAGCCUAUCUCUCCAUCAGGAGCCCCUGGCCAACCAGAACCUCAGCCUGCAGUCAGGGCCAAAGUCCCAAAAUAUUCUCAAAUACCCUCAGAGGUAUCUUCUCAUGCUAUAGACCUCAAGACCCAGCCUUGUAGUCAGGCUGUGCCUAUGAUUGUUGUACAAGACUAUGAAGAGGAGAACAGUAGUCCACAACCACAAAUGCACCCCUCUGUGCAAGUGAAAGACUCUCAGUCCUUUGAAGUUAAGUCACAGAAUGUUGUCCAUGCUGAAACAAAAAUGUACAUAGAGCAUCAUGUAGAAAGCCAGGUAUCUUUACCACAACCUGUGACACAACAACAGACAGAAACCCAGUGGCAGGUGCAAGGUCCAGUAGCUAGCCAACCCUCACAGAACCUACAACAAGCAGAAUCACAAGUACAUAAUGAACAACAAAUAGCAACACAGCCAUAUGUGCACAUACAGCAACAAGAGAAGACUCAGCUUGCAAAACAGCAGAAUGUUCAACCACAAGUACCAAUCCAGUCACAGCCUCAGGGCCAACUAGAAACACAAACACAGCAAGUUCCAAAGCAGCAGAGGAAAGUAAAGAAGUCCCAGGCACAUCUGCAGAACAGACCUUGGCUUCAACAGAGGAGUCAAUUGGAAAAUGUUACCCAAAAACCAGCCCCACAGCUGGUGCCACAAUCCCAGUUAGAGCCUGAGGACAAAUGUCAAUUAAAUUCUCAAACACCACUACAGCAUAUAGUGGCUGUUAGCUCACCUGAGGCCCAGGGACCUGCUCAAAGCGCAACACAGUCAAAAAGCAUUGUUGAGAGUGAUGAGAAAGACCUGAAGCCAGCUCAGCCUCUUGUAGUAACACAAAAACUACCUCAGACUGUGCCAGCAGUUCCAGCACAAUCAGUGACUCAAAAACAAACACAACAGCCAGUGACUGUUCCAAUUCAUCAACAAAUAUUAAACCAACCUCAGCCCUUUUUAUCAACUCAAGCUCAAGCACAACAACCACAAGCUACUGCACCCAUUAAGCAACAAAUGCAACCUCAGAUCGUGACACCACAGCAACCUCAAGUGAUGAUCCAGAAACAGGCACAAUCUCAAUCCAUGACACCCAUGCAACCACAGGUUAUGGCCCAGUGGCAGCCACAACAGACUAUUGCUCAACCUCAACCUGCCGUACCACAACCACAAAUAUUUUCAGUGGCCCAAACAAUGCCACAAGGCACUUCCAGACCGGCCCAACAGUACCCAGCAUCUCACUUUCAACCACAAAUAAUGAUGCAGGGACAACAGUCACCCCAUGGUGUAGCGCAAGCUCAGUCCCAGCAACCCACAAUGCACAAUCCGACUAUAAUUUCACCUCAGCCCAAAGGUGCAUCCACCAUACAACCCAGAAUCAUCUCUAUGCCACAACCCCAGAUGCCACUUCAAUCUCAAACCCAAACUCAGGUCAAGGCACAGGGAAGUGCACCACUUAUUUUUCAACCUCAGGGGCAACCCCAGUGGUAUCAACCAGGAGACGUCACCCAAACAUACCCCAAUGUCCAAGGACCAAUAUCUGUUGCUGACCAAAUGCAGCAUCUCACCCAUUUCCAAACUCACCCCCAACCUCCAAGUAUCCCUCCAGCUCAGCCUCAGCAGUGGUCACCAAUAAGACCAGGCAUAGAGAACCAGACCUACCCCACUGUCCAAGUUCCAGGUCAGGUAGUCCAACCUCAAUCUCAAAUGUCAGUUUACCCUAAAAUCCAGCCGCAAUCACAGCCUCAGCAGUGGCCCUCUGCUAUACCUGAAUCACCUUGCGGUCAGUCACAGAUAAGACCCCAAGGUCCAGCUCAGCAUGUGGUUACCUCACAUCAUUGGAGGCCUGUCAGUCCAGUAUACCCCGGGACUGAAACCCAAGGCCCCAAGGGACCACUUCCUCAGUCCCAAUAUCAAGCCCUACCAAGGCCACCAAGCACUCAACGGCAGUGGGGUCCAGUCCGGCCAGAACAUCAGUUUCAAGUCUCUUCCCAGACUAUGUUACAUGGUGUUUUCCAGCCAGAAGCUCCAUGGAAUCAUCCUCCUGCGCAAGCUCCCAUAAGACCUCAGAGUCCACAACAGCCUCAGCAAAGACAGCAAAAGUGGAGUUCAUCAAGGAUAGAGGCCCCAUCUGAAACCCUUAUCCAUUUUUUUUAA